rnacentral:tRNA from 1 species
GGCUCCAUACUGUAGUGAUCAGCUCAUCUGCUUUGCAUGCAGAAGGUCCUGGGUUCGUAUCCCAGGUGGAGCCA